rnacentral:rRNA from 1 species
UACGUAGGGUGCGAGCGUUGUCCGGAAUUAUUGGGCGUAAAGAGCUCGUAGGCGGUUUGUCGCGUCGAAUGUGAAAACCCGGGGCUCAACCCCGGGCCUGCAUUCGAUACGGGCAGACUAGAGUUCGGUAGGGAGUGUCGGAAUUCCUGGUGUAGCGGUGAAAUGCGCAGAUAUCAGGAGGAACACCGGUGGCGAAGGCGGGUCUCUGGGCCGUAACUGACGCUGAGGAGCGAAAGCGUGGGGAGCGAACAGG